rnacentral:rRNA from 1 species
UACGAAGGGUGCAAGCGUUACUCGGAAUUACUGGGCGUAAAGCGUGCGCAGGCGGGCUUUUAAGCCAGACGUGAAAUCCCCGGGCUUAACCUGGGAAUGGCGUUUGGGACUGGAAGUCUGGAGUGCGGCAGAGGAGACUGGAAUUCCUGGUGUAGCAGUGAAAUGCGUAGAUAUCAGGAGGAACACCGAUGGCGAAGGCAGGUCUCUGGGCUGACACUGACGCUCAUGCACGAAAGCGUGGGGAGCAAACAGG